UGAACGCUAGCUACAGGCUUACACAUGCAAGUCAGGGGCAGCAGGACAAGCUUGCUUGUUUGCUGGGCGACCGGCGCACGGGUGCGUAACGCGUAUCGAACCUGCCCUAUACUCAGGGAUAGCCUUGCGAAAGUAAGAUUAAUACCUGAUGUUGUUAUUUAUUCGCAUGUUUGAAUAACGAAAGAUUUAUUGGUAUAGGAUGGCGAUGCGUGGCAUUAGCUGGUUGGCGGGGUAACGGCCACCAAGGCGACGAUGGAUAGGGGUUCUGAGAGGAAGGUCCCCCACACUGGUACUGAGACACGGACCAGACUCCUACGGGAGGCAGCAGUGAAGAAUAUUGGUCAAUGGGCGAGAGCCUGAACCAGCCAAGUCGCGUGGAGGAAGACUGCCCUAUGGGUUGUAAACUCCUUUUACCUGGGAAUAACGGGCGCUACGUGUAGCGCUGUGCAUGUACCGGGAGAAUAAGCAUCGGCUAAUUCCGUG
rnacentral:rRNA from 1 species